GGACUACUGGGGUAUCUAAUCCUGUUUGAUCCCCACGCUUUCGCGCUGCAGCGUCAGAAACUGGCCAGUGAGCCGCCUUCGCCACCGGUGUUCUUCCCAAUAUCUACGAAUUUCACCUCUACACUGGGAAUUCCACUCACCUCUCCAGUCCUCAAAGCCUCGCAGUCCCAAAGGCCAUUCCCGAGUUGAGCUCAGGCAUUUCACCUCUGGCUUGCAAAACCGCCUACGCGCGCUUUACGCCCAGUAAUUCCGAACAACGCUAGCCCCCUUCGUAUUACCGCGGCUGCUGGCAC
rnacentral:rRNA from 1 species